rnacentral:rRNA from 1 species
AGCGUACACGGUGGAUGCCCUGGCAGUCAGAGGCGAUGAAGGACGUGCUAAUCUGCGAAAAGCGUCGGUAAGGUGAUAUGAACCGUUAUAGCCGGCGAUGUCCGAAUGGGGAAACCCAGUGCAAUUCGUUGCACUAUCGUUAACUGAAUACAUAGGUUAACGAGGCGAACCGGGGGAACUGAAACAUCUAAGUACCCCGAGGAAAAGAAAUCAACCGAGAUUCCCCCAGUAGCGGCGAGCGAACGGGGAGCAGCCCAGAGUCUGAAUCAGCUUGUGUGUUAGUGGAACGGUCUGGAAAGUCCGACGGUACAGGGUGAUAGUCCCGUACACCAAAAUGCACAGGCUGUGAACUCGAAGAGUAGGGCGGGACACGUGGUAUCCUGUCUGAAUAUGGGGGGACCAUCCUCCAAGGCUAAAUACUCCUGACUGACCGAUAGUGAACCAGUACCGUGAGGGAAAGGCGAAAAGAACCCCGGCGAGGGGAGUGAAAAAGAACCUGAAACCGUGUACGUACAAGCAGUGGGAGCACCUUCGGGUGUGACUGCGUACCUUUUGUAUAAUGGGUCAGCGACUUAUAUUCUGUAGCAAGGUUAACCGUAUAGGGGAGCCGCAGGGAAACCGAGUCUUAACUGGGCGUUAAGUUGCAGGGUAUAGACCCGAAACCCGGUGAUCUAGCCAUGGGCAGGUUGAAGGUUGGGUAACACUAACUGGAGGACCGAACCGACUAAUGUUGAAAAAUUAGCGGAUGACUUGUGGCUGGGGGUGAAAGGCCAAUCAAACCGGGAGAUAGCUGGUUCUCCCCGAAAGCUAUUUAGGUAGCGCCUCGUGAACUCAUCUUCGGGGGUAGAGCACUGUUUCGGCUAGGGGGUCAUCCCGACUUACCAACCCGAUGCAAACUACGAAUACCGAAGAAUGUUAUCACGGGAGACACACGGCGGGUGCUAACGUCCGUCGUGAAGAGGGAAACAACCCAGACCGCCAGCUAAGGUCCCAAAGUCAUGGUUAAGUGGGAAACGAUGUGGGAAGGCACAGACAGCCAGGAUGUUGGCUUAGAAGCAGCCAUCAUUUAAAGAAAGCGUAAUAGCUCACUGGUCGAGUCGGCCUGCGCGGAAGAUGUAACGGGGCUAAACCAUGCACCGAAGCUGCGGCAGCGACACUAUGUGUUGUUGGGUAGGGGAGCGUUCUGUAAGCCUGCGAAGGUGUGCUGUGAGGCAUGCUGGAGGUAUCAGAAGUGCGAAUGCUGACAUAAGUAACGAUAAAGCGGGUGAAAAGCCCGCUCGCCGGAAGACCAAGGGUUCCUGUCCAACGUUAAUCGGGGCAGGGUGAGUCGACCCCUAAGGCGAGGCCGAAAGGCGUAGUCGAUGGGAAACAGGUUAAUAUUCCUGUACUUGGUGUUACUGCGAAGGGGGGACGGAGAAGGCUAUGUUAGCCGGGCGACGGUUGUCCCGGUUUAAGCAUGUAGGCUGGUUGUCCAGGCAAAUCCGGAUAAUCAAGGCUGAGGUGUGAUGACGAGGCACUACGGUGCUGAAGUAACAAAUGCCCUGCUUCCAGGAAAAGCCUCUAAGCAUCAGGUAACAUUAAAUCGUACCCCAAACCGACACAGGUGGUCAGGUAGAGAAUACCAAGGCGCUUGAGAGAACUCGGGUGAAGGAACUAGGCAAAAUGGUGCCGUAACUUCGGGAGAAGGCACGCUGGUGUGUAGGUGAAGUCCCUGCGGAUGGAGCUGAGACCAGUCGAAGAUACCAGCUGGCUGCAACUGUUUAUUAAAAACACAGCACUGUGCAAACACGAAAGUGGACGUAUACGGUGUGACGCCUGCCCGGUGCCGGAAGGUUAAUUGAUGGGGUUAUCCGUAAGGAGAAGCUCUUGAUCGAAGCCCCGGUAAACGGCGGCCGUAACUAUAACGGUCCUAAGGUAGCGAAAUUCCUUGUCGGGUAAGUUCCGACCUGCACGAAUGGCGUAAUGAUGGCCAGGCUGUCUCCACCCGAGACUCAGUGAAAUUGAACUCGCUGUGAAGAUGCAGUGUACCCGCGGCAAGACGGAAAGACCCCGUGAACCUUUACUAUAGCUUGACACUGAACAUUGAGCCUUGAUGUGUAGGAUAGGUGGGAGGCUUUGAAGCGUGGACGCCAGUCUGCGUGGAGCCAACCUUGAAAUACCACCCUUUAAUGUUUGAUGUUCUAACGUUGGCCCCUUACCGGGGUUGCGGACAGUGUCUGGUGGGUAGUUUGACUGGGGCGGUCUCCUCCUAAAGCGUAACGGAGGAGCACGAAGGUUAGCUAAUCCUGGUCGGACAUCAGGAGGUUAGUGCAAUGGCAUAAGCUAGCUUGACUGCGAGCGUGACGGCGCGAGCAGGUGCGAAAGCAGGUCAUAGUGAUCCGGUGGUUCUGAAUGGAAGGGCCAUCGCUCAACGGAUAAAAGGUACUCCGGGGAUAACAGGCUGAUACCGCCCAAGAGUUCAUAUCGACGGCGGUGUUUGGCACCUCGAUGUCGGCUCAUCACAUCCUGGGGCUGAAGUAGGUCCCAAGGGUAUGGCUGUUCGCCAUUUAAAGUGGUACGCGAGCUGGGUUUAGAACGUCGUGAGACAGUUCGGUCCCUAUCUGCCGUGGGCGCUGGAGAAUUGAGGGGGGCUGCUCCUAGUACGAGAGGACCGGAGUGGACGCAUCACUGGUGUUCGGGUUGUCAUGCCAAUGGCACUGCCCGGUAGCUAAAUGCGGAAGAGAUAAGUGCUGAAAGCAUCUAAGCACGAAACUUGCCCCGAGAUGAGUUCU